rnacentral:rRNA from 1 species
AUUGAACGCUGGCGGCAUGCUUUACACAUGCAAGUCGAACGGUAACAGGCCGCAAGGUGCUGACGAGUGGCGAACGGGUGAGUAAUGCAUCGGAACGUGCCCAGUCGUGGGGGAUAACUGCUCGAAAGAGCAGCUAAUACCGCAUACGAUCUAUGGAUGAAAGCGGGGGACCGUAAGGCCUCGCGCGAUUGGAGCGGCCGAUGUCAGAUUAGGUAGUUGGUGGGGUAAAGGCUCACCAAGCCAACGAUCUGUAGCUGGUCUGAGAGGACGACCAGCCACACUGGGACUGAGACACGGCCCAGACUCCUACGGGAGGCAGCAGUGGGGAAUUUUGGACAAUGGGGGCAACCCUGAUCCAGCAAUGCCGCGUGCAGGAAGAAGGCCUUCGGGUUGUAAACUGCUUUUGUACGGAACGAAACGGUCUGGGUUAAUACCCUGGGCUAAUGACGGUACCGUAAGAAUAAGCACCGGCUAACUACGUGCCAGCAGCCGCCGUAACAC